rnacentral:lncRNA from 1 species
GAGGCGGCCCCCGGGCGCCAUUUUGUGACGGCGGCGGUGGCGGCGGUCCUUUCCCAUUUUAGGCCCGGGGAGGCGGGGGCGCCGACCGGGGCCGGGUCGAGGACGGAAGGACGGACGCCGCCCUCUCCGCGGCCGGCGGCUGGGAGGCGUGCGGGCGAGGAGGAGCGCGGGGAUGGCGGCGGCCGGGCGAGGGGGACGUCGGCGCCGCGGCCUGGGCCCGACCGGAAGUGGAGGAGCGUCCGGCCGCCAUGGCGGAGUCUGUCGAACCCAGACUCCCCAAGGAACAGAAGGGCCCGUCUUUCCCGAGCCCCGGAUGGCCGCGCUCUCCGGAACCGAGGCGACAAGCCGCUGGGGGACUUGACCCGCCGUGGGCGGGGGAGCCCAACCCGACCGUCGGACACCCGCUGCGGCGACCGCGUCUCGUCGCCGUGCGCGCGGCUCCGAGCGGCGGCCCGCCCUCCCCGCCGCCUCACGGAGUUGGUAUUUACUGGACGUUUUCCAUCCGGAAGCGCACCGGAAACUGGCCGAAGGCUACGUCGCCUGACGAGCGGAAAGGCGACCAGCCGGACACCAGGCACGGCCCAGGCAGCUCAGCCGGGACAGUCGGUAUGCGGUCUCCUCGGUCAGUUUUCCACCCACCUGCCGUCCGGUGGUAUUUCUGAUGGGAGUCCCCGGGUCCCGUGUGUACGGGACUUAGAGUGAAAAAGCAGUUGCCGCAGGUUCUGUGGUUUAUAAAAAUCCGAGUGCCGUUAUUUUACUGUCGUCUUGUGGGUUUUUUUGGUUGGGUUCUUUCCCCCCGCCCCCGCGGGAUUCGUUAAGGGCGCAUCAGGUGCCGGGCAUUCUUCUAAAUGCUGGGAUAGGUACAGGUUAAUUCGGUCAGACUCGGUCUCUGUCCCACAUGGGGCUCACGGUCCUAAUCCCCGUUCAGACCCAGAGGAGUGAAUCGACCUGCCCGAGGUCACCCGGCAGACAAGUGGCGGAGCGGGGAUCGGAACCCAGGUCCUUCCGACUCCCGGGCCCGCGCUCUAUCCACUAGGCCACGCUGCUUCUCGGCUUCAGGGUCCCGAGUGUGAAGGGGGACUCCGAAGCUGAGUGGGGGGCAGGGAGCUGGAGCCCCUGGAGGGGAAUCCUGGGACGGGCUCUGAGCCCCCAGCGCAAGCCGCCGAGGGUCUCGACUGAGGGAGCCUUCGAGGCGUCCCUCGGCGGGCCUGGGUCAGCGGGCGCGGAGAGGCAGGCCGGGGUCUGACGGCCCAGCGGGGCAGGUCAGCUCCCUCCGGGGAUAGAGCAGGUUGGCAUCUUUGGGUCUCCUCCAGUUCCUCCUCCAGCCUCUCUUAUGCUCCCUUCUCCACAUCUCCUGGGCCCCAGUCCCUUGGCGGAGGAGAGAAAUGGAAGCGGCCAACCACCCGAGUCUCCGCGGGGCCGUCUGACGUCAGAAAGUUGCAGCCGCCGGAAGCCCCCGAACCCACUUGGUGUGGGGAGCGCGGGUGUUCUGUCAGGCCGGGGACCCCCGGGCCACCCCGCCAUCCCCUCCAGAUGCUCGCUCGCUCGGGCUUCCGGGAGAAAGUCCGCGCUGCCGCCUCCGGACCGUUUUCACCGGGCGGCGAAACAGCGAGGCCCUGGAGGGCGUCGCGUCGGAGGUCCCGGCGACACGCGAUGACAGCCCACGGCCACAUCCCCUCCACUGGCAGGAGCUGGGCGGCGGACCGUGGUCAGAGGAAGACCCGAGGAAGGUAGCAGGUGGGGGAGAGCCGGCUUUACCGGUCAGAGCUCCGAGAAGACGGCCACACUCGGGAAGAAACCUAAUGACCAGUGGCACCAGGGGGAACAGAGGAAGCCUCGGAGUUGUAGCAGAGGGCAGUUUUCCUAGCCCUCCUCUCCCCCGUCUGGAAGGUCUCGCCGGGGCCCCGGGCACGGACCGACGGACCCGGCUGCCCGUACAGUCCCCUCUGCCCCCAGAGGCUCACUAGGUCGAUCUAGAGGUGGAUCUGGAGAGGAGGGGCGGGAAAGGCAGACCACUGACGGACGUCACCCGGCCCCGGGGGCACGGUGAGGCCGGAUCCUUUCCUCCGGCCCCCCGGACGUCCCCUCGGCUGGGUUUCCGUUCAGUCCCUCGCUUCGGAUGCACGGGGACGGAGCCGGCCUCUGCCCCGUCACGUUCUGCAUCUUGGGGGGCCGAGAUACUGUGGGUCAAGGCGUUGACGAUGUUGGUAUCUGCUAGGUGCUUACAAUCGGGAAGAAGAGCCAGGUUGUCUUCCCUAAUAAUUUUGUUCCAGGACAUCCAGACUAGUCAAGGGCACUAUGGGCCGAGCACCGUUCUGAGCGCUGGAGGAGAUACGAGGUAAUCAGGUUGUCCCCGUGGGGCUCACAGUCUGCAUCCUAUUUUACAGAUGAGGUAACUGAGGCACCGAGAACCGAAGUGAUUUGCCCGAAGUCACCCGGCUGACAGAUGGCGGAGCCGGGAUUAGAACCCCUGCCCUCUGACUCCUAAGCCCGAGCCCUUUCCACUGCGCCACGCUGCUUCUAACUCUCCCUGGAAAGUCCAGUGCCAGCUCGGUCAGUCGUUCAAUCAACGGAAUGUUGUAGAGCACUUGGUGUGUGCAGAGCACUGCGCUAAGCACUUGGGGGAGUACAGUGCGACCGAGUUGAUAGAAACGAUCCCUUCUCACAAGGAGCUUCCAGACCGGAGGGAAGAAGUGGAGGAGAGAUGGGGGGAGAGAGAGACAGUGGGCUCUUGGAGGGUCAGCCAUCUGGGAAAGCAAAGGGAUCUAGCCAAAAAGAAGUGUUAAUAAUGUUGGUAUUUGUUAAGUGCUUACUAUGGGCCGAGCACUGUUCUAAGCAGUGGGGUAGAUAGAGGGUAAUCGGGUUGUCCCACGUGAGGCUCACAGUCUUAAUCCCCAUUUUACUGAUGAGGGAACUGAGGCACCGAGAAGUUGAGUGACUCGCCCACAGUCACACAGCUGCCAAGGGGCAGAGCUGGGAUUCGAACCCAUGACCUCUGACUCCAAAGCCCAGGCUCUUUCCACUAAGCCACGCUGCCUCUCUAGAAGAAGAGAGUAUCAGCACCGAUGCUUGAAACCAAAGAUUCUCCUUUAUAAAAAAAAAAAAGUCGGUGGAGUUGUCAUUUCCUUUGCCAUUCCUGACAGUCUGCUGGGGAAAGAGGAGACUCCCUCCCCCUUCGUCCCCAGCUCUGGCACAGGGGCCGCGGCCGACCUGCUUAACGUCCAUCCCAGUGCUUAGAGUGGUGCCUAACGCAUCCAAUGCUUAAACAAAAACCCUGACCACCCCAGGGCGUCCUUUCCCAGAAGUGAAGGGCAAGAGCUCAGGUUCCCCCCGGGGAGGAAAGCCCUGCUCCUUCCCCGAACGUUCCUCCCUUUAGCACCCCAUCACGAGUGACCAGAAAAGUGGGCAGGAAUGGGGCGGAGAAUAAACUUAAACCCUCCACCAUCUGGGGCGGGAGAGGCCUUGGCACGCGACAACCUCCGCUUCCUCACGCUUUGGGAGAUGGGAGGGGACCGGCCUUUUUUUUUUAUCUUCAGGAUUGGGAGGUGAACGAGAGGCGCCGAGAUCUCCGAAACGGGCGAGGAACCGUGAAGGGAGGACGGGACGCCUCUCCCAACUGAAAGCGCGGGGGCCGGGAGGGGUGGGGGCCGGGCUGCCACACCUGCCAAACGGCUGCCGCCAGCCGGACCUCCCCCCCACCCCCGCGCCCCCGCCCCGAGGACUUUGAGCCCCAAGGGAGCCCCGAGGCGGAGGCGGCCCUCUCCGGAUCCGGGAGGCGGCUCCCGGAGGGGCAAGGGAAGGCUCUGGCUCCUCCCGCCCCGUCCUCGGGUGAGGCCGGGCCCCUCCGGAGCGAGGAAGCAGCAGGCCGAGGUCGGGGAUUGGAAUGGCAGAAAGGGGCGGGCCUCACCCACCCUCCGAGAACACGCUCCGGCAAGACGGGCGAGCCCGGGGGCCGCGUCUCCUCCGCUCCCCAAGACCAACAGCUGGCUUCUGGCGCCCCGUUGCCACGGUGGCUUUAGCCCUUCGCGGCGAAGAGCUUUCCGUUCCCUGCCCGCACCGGCGCGUAAAAAGACCAGGAGCUAUCGCAGCCGUUUUUACGGUAGGGACCGUUCGGACUCGCGUCGGCUUCCCACGGUCGCGGCACACGCGUCAGUCCGCACGUUUCGCUGUCGCCUGACCUCGGUCGAUCGUAUCUAUCGAGCGCCUGCUCUGGGCCGUGCGCUGUACUGAGCGCUCGGGGGAGUACCAUAGGACAGACUCGUUCCCUGCCUGUGAUGAGUUUGGAGUCUAGAGUGGGGCAGUAAAGCGGGGUGACGGGGAGGGACCUUUAAACAUCAAUCGUUUACUGAGUGCUUCCCGUGCGCGAAGCGCCGUACUGGGCAGUUGGGAGAGUACGCUACGACGGAAUUGCUAAAUAAAUGCCCUGCCCGCAACGAGCUUAAGGUCUAGAGGGGGUGCUCCACAUCGACGGAGAUAAACCGUGCUUGGGAGCGUUUGGCACACAGUAAGUGCUCGAACCGAAUGAAUCGCAGCUAUGUUCGUGGGCCGCGGGGGAGGGUGAGUGAGGGGUGUAAGUGGAAGCGCCCCCUUAAUUCCGCCUCGGUAAACGGGAAGUGGAGGUGUUGGUUCGAGUCUUUUGUCUGCUCGCUCCGGCACUGAGCAGCUCGUCUACCCUCCGCUCUUUCUUCCCGUCGGCAACUAGUGCCCCGCUUCCUCUAGCCCCUUGGGGCCAGGAUAUGUUUCUUCUAAUCUUGUCGGUAGUUGUUAAGCGCUUACUACGGGCCGAGCACUGUUCUAAGCGCUGGGGCAGACACGGGGGAAUCGGGUCGUCCCACGUGGGGCUCACGGUCUUAAUCCCCGUUUUACAGAUGAGGGAACUGAGGCACAGAGAAGUGACUCGCCCACAGUCCCACAGCUGACAAGGGGCAGAGCUGGGAUUCGAACUCAUGACCUCGGACUCCAUGCCCCCGCUCUUUCCACUGA